UACGUAGGGUGCGAGCGUUAAUCGGAAUUACUGGGCGUAAAGCGUGCGCAGGCGGUUAUGUAAGACAGAUGUGAAAUGCCCGGGCUUAACCUGGGAACUGCAUUUGUGACUGCAUGGCUAGAGUGUGUCAGAGGGGGGUAGAAUUCCACGUGUAGCAGUGAAAUGCGUAGAUAUGUGGAGGAAUACCGAUGGCGAAGGCAGCUCACUGGGCCAUUCCUGACGCUGAGGCACGAAAGCGUAGGUAGCGAACGGG
rnacentral:rRNA from 1 species